rnacentral:rRNA from 1 species
UACGUAGGGAGCAAGCGUUGUCCGGAAUCAUUGGGCGUAAAGCGCGCGUAGGCGGCCCGGUAAGUCCGUUGUGAAAGUCAAAGGCUCAACCUUUGAAUGCCGAUGGAUACUGCCGGGCUCGAGUCCGGAAGAGGCGAGUGGAAUUCCUGGUGUAGCGGUGGAAUGCGCAGAUAUCAGGAAGAACACCCGUGGCGAAGGCGGCUCUCUGGGACGGUACUGACGCUGAGACGCGAAAGCGUGGGGAGCGAACAGG